rnacentral:rRNA from 1 species
ACUGCUCAGUAACACGUGGAUAACCUGCCCAAGGGUCUGGGAUAACCCCGGGAAACUGGGGAUAAUACCGGAUGGAUCACUUAUGCUGGAAUGCUUGGUGGUCGAAAGGUGACGCCCUUGGAUGGGUCUGCGGCGGAUUAGGUUGACGCCGGUGUAACGUACCGGCGUGCCUGUAAUCCGUACGGGUUGUGGGAGCAAGAGCCCGGAGAUGGAUUCUGAGACACGAAUCCAGGCCCUACGGGGCGCAGCAGGCGCGAAAACUCUACAAUGCAGGCAACUGCGAUAGGGGGACAUCGAGUGGCAUCCACCUUGGGUGCCUGUCCCACCGUCUAAAAAACGGUGGUUAGCAAGGGCCGGGCAAGACCGGUGCCAGCCGCCGCGGUAAUACCGGCGGCUCGAGUGGUGGCCGAUAUUAUUGAGUCUAAAGGGUCCGUAGCCGGCUUUGCAAGUCCCCUGGGAAAUCCAGCGGCUUAACCGUUGGGCUUUCAUGGGAUACUACAUUGCUUGGGACUGGGAGAGGUAGGAGGUACUCGGGGGGUAGGGGUGAAAUCCUGUAAUCCCCCGGGGACCACCGGUGGCGAAGGCGUCCUACCAGAACAGGUCCGACGGUGAGGGACGAAAGCUAGGGGCACGAACCGGAUUAGAUACCCGGGUAGUCCUAGCCGUAAACGAUGCCCGCUAGGUGUCACGGCGGUCGUGAAUCGCCGUGGUGCCGUAGGGAAGCCGCGAAGCGGGCCACUUGGGAAGUACGGCCGCAAGGCUGAAACUUAAAGGAAUUGGCGGGGGAGCAC